GUGUAUAUAGUGGGAUUGCCUAGUUUUAACUAUUGAUGUGGUGCUUACCUAACAUAGACUAAAUUGAUCUCAAGAACAGAAAUAAAUACUAGUUGUCGUUGUUGUUUGGUUUUUUUUUUUUUUUUUUUUUUUUUUUACUAUUUUGGUUACAACCUCCCUAAUAUUUUAAUAUAAUUAGAUUAAAUAUAGUUAUAUUUUUAUAGUAUCAAUUUUAACUGUGUGUUUU
rnacentral:lncRNA from 1 species